rnacentral:tRNA from 1 species
GCAGACGUGGCAGAGUCUGGUCGAAUGCGGCUCCCUGCUAAGGAGUUAACCGCUGCGGCGGUUCAGAAGUUCAAAUCUUCUCGUCUGCG